UGAGGAACAUGACUUUCGGCGGGGGAUAGCCGGCCCAACGGCCGGGUAAUACCGCGUACGACCUCUUGGGGACAUCCCCGAUUGGUGAAAGCAGCAAUGCGCCGAAAGAGUGCCUCGCGGCCUAUCAGCUAGUUGGUGGGGGUAAAUGGCUCACCAAGGCGACGACGGGUAGCUGGUCUGAGAGGAUGGCCAGCCACAUUGGGACUGAGACACGGCCCAGACUCCGUACGGGGGGCAGC
rnacentral:rRNA from 1 species